rnacentral:rRNA from 1 species
UGUUUCGGCUAGGGGGUCAUCCCGACUUACCAACCCGAUGCAAACUGCGAAUACCGAAGAAUGUUAUCACGGGAGACACACGGCGGGUGCUAACGUCCGUCGUGAAGAGGGAAACAACCCAGACCGCCAGCUAAGGUCCCAAAGUCAUGGUUAAGUGGGAAACGAUGUGGGAAGGCACAGACAGCCAGGAUGUUGGCUUAGAAGCAGCCAUCAUUUAAAGAAAGCGUAAUAGCUCACUGGUCGAGUCGGCCUGCGCGGAAGAUGUAACGGGGCUAAACCAUGCACCGAAGCUGCGGCAGCGACACUAUGUGUUGUUGGGUAGGGGAGCGUUCUGUAAGCCGUUGAAGGUGGCCUGUGAGGGUUGCUGGAGGUAUCAGAAGUGCGAAUGCUGACAUAAGUAACGAUAAUGCGGGUGAAAAACCCGCACGCCGGAAGACCAAGGGUUCCUGUCCAACGUUAAUCGGGGCAGGGUGAGUCGACCCCUAAGGCGAGGCCGAAAGGCGUAGUCGAUGGGAAACAGGUUAAUAUUCCUGUACUUGGUGUUACUGCGAAGGGGGGACGGAGAAGGCUAUGUUAGCCGGGCGACGGUUGUCCCGGUUUAAGCAUGUAGGCGGAGGUUCCAGGUAAAUCCGGUACCUUUUUAACGCUGAGGUGUGAUGACGAGGCACUACGGUGCUGAAGUAACAAAUGCCCUGCUUCCAGGAAAAGCCUCUAAGCAUCAGGUAACACGAAAUCGUACCCCAAACCGACACAGGUGGUCAGGUAGAGAAUACCAAGGCGCUUGAGAGAACUCGGGUGAAGGAACUAGGCAAAAUGGUGCCGUAACUUCGGGAGAAGGCACGCUGAUAUGUAGGUGAAGUGAUUUACUCAUGGAGCUGAAAUCAGUCGAAGAUACCAGCUGGCUGCAACUGUUUAUUAAAAACACAGCACUGUGCAAACACGAAAGUGGACGUAUACGGUGUGACGCCUGCCCGGUGCCGGAAGGUUAAUUGAUGGGGUUAUCCGUAAGGAGAAGCUCUUGAUCGAAGCCCCGGUAAACGGCGGCCGUAACUAUAACGGUCCUAAGGUAGCGAAAUUCCUUGUCGGGUAAGUUCCGACCUGCACGAAUGGCGUAAUGAUGGCCAGGCUGUCUCCACCCGAGACUCAGUGAAAUUGAACUCGCUGUGAAGAUGCAGUGUACCCGCGGCAAGACGGAAAGACCCCGUGAACCUUUACUAUAGCUUGACACUGAACACUGGUCCUUGAUGUGUAGGAUAGGUGGGAGGCUUUGAAGUGUGGACGCCAGUCUGCAUGGAGCCAUCCUUGAAAUACCACCCUUUAAUGGCUGGUGUUCUAACGUGGACCCGUUACCCGGGUUGCGGACAGUGUCUGGUGGGUAGUUUGACUGGGGCGGUCUCCUCCUAAAGAGUAACGGAGGAGCACGAAGGUUAGCUAAUCCUGGUCGGACAUCAGGAGGUUAGUGCAAAGGCAUAAGCUAGCUUGACUGCGAGAGUGACGGCUCGAGCAGGUGCGAAAGCAGGUCUUAGUGAUCCGGUGGUUCUGAAUGGAAGGGCCAUCGCUCAACGGAUAAAAGGUACUCCGGGGAUAACAGGCUGAUACCGCCCAAGAGUUCAUAUCGACGGCGGUGUUUGGCACCUCGAUGUCGGCUCAUCACAUCCUGGGGCUGAAGUAGGUCCCAAGGGUAUGGCUGUUCGCCAUUUAAAGUGGUACGCGAGCUGGGUUUAGAACGUCGUGAGACAGUUCGGUCCCUAUCUGCCGUGGGCGCUGGAGAAUUGAGGGGGGCUGCUCCUAGUACGAGAGGACCGGAGUGGACGCAUCACUGGUGUUCGGGUUGUCAUGCCAAUGGCAUUGCCCGGUAGCUAAAUGCGGAAGAGAUAAGUGCUGAAAGCAUCUAAGCACGAAACUUGCCCCGAGAUGAGUUCUCCCUGAGACUAUAAGUCUCCUGAAGGAACGUUAAAGACGAUGACG